rnacentral:rRNA from 1 species
AUUGCCUACGGGGGGCAGCAGUAGGGAAUCUUCCACAAUGGCCGAAAGUCUGAUGGAGCAACGCCGCGUGAGUGAAGAAGGGUUUCGGCUCGUAAAGCUCUGUUGGCAGUGAAGAAAGAUAGAGGUAGUAACUGGCCUUUAUUUGACGGUAAUUACUUAGAAAGUCACGGCUAACUACGUGCAAGCAGCCGCGGUAAUACGUAGGUGGCAAGCGUUGUCCGGAUUUUUUGGGCGUAAAGCGAGUGAAGGCGGUUCAAUAAUGGUGAUGUGAAA